AUACAUGUAUUUCAGUAAUUAGAUUAAUUGCAAUUCUCUAUAUUUUUGCAGUUUUGUUUUAUAACAUGAGUUUGGAUGUCAACAGAAAGGCAGAGUCUCCACCAAGAUUCUAUUUUUCUUCUAAUGGAACUUCUGACGUGAUUACAGGAAGCAUACAAGUGUCCAGCAGAGAAGCUAACUGUAGAACACAUCAAGCAUUUAUGCGGAAAGAUGUGCGGGACAUCCUCACCCCAAUUCAGAUUGAAGCUGCUUACCACCUUGGUCCUCAUGUCAUCAGUAAACGAAGUACAGAGGAAUUCCCACCACUUCAGCCAAUUCUUCAGCAGAAGAAAGAAAAAGACAUAAUUAAAAAAACAAUAAACUUUGCAAGGUUUUGUGCCCAUGAAAAUUGUUCUGCUGAUUUACAGGUUUCUGCAAAGAUUGGGUUUUUGAAGCCCCAUGAAAAUAAAACAUAUCUUGCUGUUGGGAGUAUGAAGACAUUGAUGUUGAAUGUGUCCUUGUUUAAUGCUGGAGAUGAUGCAUAUGAAACUACUCUACAUGUCAAACUACCCGUGGGUCUUUAUUUCAUUAAGAUUUUAGAGCUGGAAGAGAAGCAAAUAAACUGUGAAGUCACAGAUAACUCUGGCGUGGUACAACUUGACUGCAGUAUUGGCUAUAUAUAUGUAGAUCAUCUCUCAAGGAUAGAUAUUAGCUUUCUCCUGGAUGUGAGCUCACUCAGCAGAGCGGAAGAGGACCUCAGUAUCACAGUGCAUGCUACCUGUGAAAAUGAAGAGGAAAUGGACAAUCUAAAGCACAGCAGAGUGACUGUAGCAAUACCUUUAAAAUAUGAGGUUAAGCUGACUGUUCAUGGGUUUGUAAACCCAACUUCAUUUGUGUAUGGAUCAAAUGAUGAAAAUGAGCCUGAAACGUGCAUGGUGGAGAAAAUGAACUUAACUUUCCAUGUAAGAAAAGUUAAUUGUGUUAAUAUUUGUAACAACCUAAAAGGAUGUCACUGAUGCAUUGCU
rnacentral:sRNA from 1 species